AGUGAACGCUGGCGGCAGGCCUAACACAUGCAAGUCGAACGGCGGGGCGGACGGGUGAGGCAUACAUCGGAAUCUACUCUGUCGGGGGGGAUAACGUAGGGAAACUUACGCUAAUACCGCAUACCAUCAGAUGAGCUCAGGUCGGAUUAGCUAGUGGGUGGGGUAAAGGCCCACCAAGGCGACGACCCGUAACUGGUCUGAGAGGAUGAGCAGUCACACGUGAACGUAGACACGGUCCAGACUCCUACGGGAGGCAGCAGUGGGGAAUAUUGGACAAUGGGCGAAAGCCUGAUCCAGCCAUGCCGCGUGUGUGAAGAAGGUCUUCGGAUUGUAAAGCACUUUAAGUUGGGAGGCGUUACCAACAGAAUAAGCACCGGCUAACUUCGUGCCAGCAGCCGCGGUAAUAC
rnacentral:rRNA from 1 species